rnacentral:rRNA from 1 species
CCUACGGGAGGCAGCAGUGAGGAAUAUUGGUCAAUGGACGAGAGUCUGAACCAGCCAAGUAGCGUGAAGGAUGACUGCCCUAUGGGUUGUAAACUUCUUUUAUAUGGGAAUAAAAUGUUCCACGUGUGGGAUUUUGUAUGUACCAUAUGAAUAAGGAUCGGCUAACUCCGUGCCAGCAGCCGCGGUAAUACGGAGGAUCCGGGCGUUAUCCGGAUUUAUUGGGGUUAAAGGGAGCGUAGGGGGGUUGUUAAGUCAGUUGUGAAAGUUUGCGGCUCAACCGUAAAAUUGCAGUUGAAACUGGCAGUCUUGAGUACAGUAGAGGUGGGCGGAAUUCGUGGUGUAGCGGUGAAAUGCUUAGAUAUCACGAAGAACUCCGAUUGCGAAGGCAGUUCACUGGACUGCAACUGACACUGAGGCUCGAAAGUGUGGGUAUCAAACAGGAUUAGAUACCCUAGUAGUC